ACUCCUACGGGAGGCAGCAGUGGGGAAUAUUGCACAAUGGGCGAAAGCCUGAUGCAGCAACGCCGCGUGAGGGAUGACGGCCUUCGGGUUGUAAACCUCUUUUAGUAAGGAAGAAGCAGCGUGACGGUACUUGCAGAAAAAGCACCGGCUAACUACGUGCCAGCAGCCGCGGUAAUACGUAGGGUGCAAGCGUUGUCCGGAAUUAUUGGGCGUAAAGAGCUCGUAGGCGGUUUGUCGCGUCUGCUGUGAAAUCCUGAGGCUCAACCUCGGGCUUGCAGUGGGUACGGGCAGACUAGAGUGCGGUAGGGGAGAUUGGAAUUCCUGGUGUAGCGGUGGAAUGCGCAGAUAUCAGGAGGAACACCGAUGGCGAAGGCAGAUCUCUGGGCCGUAACUGACGCUGAGGAGCGAAAGCAUGGGGAGCGAACAGGAUUAGAUACCCUGGUAGUCCAUGCCGUAAACGUUGGGAACUAGAUGUAGGGGCCAUUCCACGGUUUCUGUGUCGCAGCUAACGCAUUAAGUUCCCCGCCUGGGGAGUACGGCCGCAAGGCUAAAACUCAAAGGAAUUGACGGGGGCCCGCACAAGCGGCGGAGCAUGCGGAUUAAUUCGAUGCAACGCGAAGAACCUUACCAAGGCUUGACAUGAACGAGAACGGGCCAGAAAUGGUCAACUCUUUGGACUCGUUUACAGGUGGUGCAUGGUUGUCGUCAGCUCGUGUCGUGAGAUGUUGGGUUAAGUCCCGCAACGAGCGCAACCCUCGUUCUAUGUUGCCAGCACGUUAUGGUGGGAACUCAUAGGAGACUGCCGGGGUCAACUCGGA
rnacentral:rRNA from 1 species